AUUGAACGCUGGCGGCAGGCCUAACACAUGCAAGUCGAACGGUAACAGGAAGAAGCUUGCUUCUUUGCUGACGAGUGGCGGACGGGUGAGUAAUGUCUGGGAAACUGCCUGAUGGAGGGGGAUAACUACUGGAAACGGUAGCUAAUACCGCAUAACGUCGCAAGACCAAAAAGGGGGACCUUCGGGCCUCUUGCCAUCGGAUGUGCCCAGAUGGGAUUAGCUAGUAGGUGGGGUAACGGCUCACCUAGGCGACGAUCCCUAGCUGGUCUGAGAGGAUGACCAGCCACACUGGAACUGAGACACGGUCCAGACUCCUACGGGAGGCAGCAGUGGGGAAUAUUGCACAAUGGGCGCAAGCCUGGUGCAGCCAUGCCGCGUGUAUGAAGAAGGCCUUCGGGUUGUAAAGUACUUUCAGCGGGGAGGAAGGGAGUAAAGUUAAUACCUUUGCUCAUUGACGUUACCCGCAGAAGAAGCACCGGCUAACUCCGUG
rnacentral:rRNA from 1 species